rnacentral:rRNA from 1 species
AACCAUGCAAGUCGAGGGGCAUCACGGAAAAGCUUGCUUUUCUGGUGGCGACCGGCGCACGGGUGCGGAACGCGUAUGGAACCUGCCCCUGUCAGGGGAAUAGCCCAGGGAAACUUGGAUUAAUGCCCCAUGGUACCGCGAUAUCGCAUGAUAUUGCGGUUAAAGAUUUAUCGGACAGGGAUGGCCAUGCGUACCAUUAGUUAGUUGGUGGGGUAACGGCCCACCAAGGCAGCGAUGGUUAGGGGCCCUGAGAGGGGGAUCCCCCACACUGGUACUGAGACACGGACCAGACUCCUACGGGAGGCAGCAGUGAGGAAUAUUGGACAAUGGGCGGGAGCCUGAUCCAGCCAUGCCGCGUGCAGGAUGACGGCCCUAUGGGUUGUAAACUGCUUUUAUACGGGAAGAAAUGCGCCCACGUGUGGGCGUCUGACGGUACCGUAAGAAUAAGGACCGGCUAACUCCGUGCCAGCAGCCGCGGUAAUACGGAGGGUCCGAGCGUUAUCCGGAAUCAUUGGGUUUAAAGGGUCCGUAGGCGGGCCUGUAAGUCAGGGGUGAAAGUUUGUGGCUCAACCAUAAAAUUGCCUUUGAUACUGCAGGUCUUGAGUCAUGGUGGGGUCGCCGGAACAUGUGGUGUAGCGGUGAAAUGCAUAGAUAUCACAUAGAACACCGAUCGCGAAGGCAGGUGGCCAACCAUGUACUGACGCUGAUGGACGAAAGCGUGGGUAGCGAACGGGAUUAGAUACCCCGGUAGUCCACGCCGUAAACGAUGGAUACUAGCUGUGGGGACUUCGGUCUCCGUG